CAAUUAAACUACGUUAAAAUAUUAAAGAAAAGGAGGAAAAGUUGGAGCUGACUUCAAAAAGGUUACGUUCAUUAAAUGUCUUGUCGCACAAGAAAUAAGGGCGCCCUUGAGAUGCGUUUUUGCGCACUUCGCUGGUGGCGGGCAACACAAAGCCAAUUAAUGACGUGAGAAGGGGCCAUUUUAAGCUCAAAUACAAUGGACACACAAGCGUAAGCAAAACACAGCCACGGAAGAAAUACAAUUCAAGGUUUUGGCGUUACACAACGUUCAAAGGAGCCGCGGGUUCUGGCGGCAAGCGUUUGAGUCUGGGCGCUUGUACAAAACGAUGUUUUUGUACGAGGUGCUAAGGGGUCCAUUUCCGGUUCGCAUUUGUUACAUCUUCCCGUAAUGUUUCUGUAAAUCUUUUCUCUAAGCAUACGCAGUGUCACUUAAUUAGCGAGAUUUGUAGUUGAUAAAUGAGUCAGACAUCCCAUCCUUGUUUUCAUUCAUUCAUUUUUUUUCCGGUAUUUUGUUUCUACCAAACACGCUAUCAGAGUAAAUCGAAAAUCAACGCCAUAACGAUACAUAUAUAAGCUUACCAAUAGUUUCGCUCAGGACACAAGCAUUCAAAAUGUUGAUAGCCAGCGACGAGUCUUAAAAGAGCGGAUUGAUUCUUAACAGCAAAACGCCAAAGAUAUUGACAGAGUAAUCUAGAGUAGCUAAGAAGUUUCCUUGUCAUUUUGAUUUAGUAAUGAUGUCCUUUACGCAACCAAAGAGCUGACAGAAGCAGAUAACUUCUAGAGGGCUUCUAGGCGGAUCAUGCUUGAGCGGGUAACGUAUGUCACCAUCGUUUGCCUACUGAUUUGUUCUUCGCUGGCUCUACCGUCCAAGCAAGCUGUUAAGAAAGCCGAUUUUCACCGAACGUCCGUUAAACCAAACCAACAAGUGGCCAAGUCUACAAGCGUGCAAAAAAUGAACAUUCUCCAAGUUCCAACCAACACAAGAGUCGUUAGACUCUACAACAAGAAUGGAUUCUUUCUCAAGAUCUCCACGGCGGGAAAACUUAGAGGCACCACGAGCUUUCACAACCCAGACAUUCUAAUAGAGAUGGAAU
rnacentral:lncRNA from 1 species